UACAGAGGUCUCAAGCGUUGUUCGGAUUCAUUGGGCGUAAAGGGUGCGUAGGCGGCGAGGCAAGUCAGGUGUGAAAUCUCGGGGCUCAACUCCGAAACUGCACUUGAUACUGCCUUGCUAGAGUACUGGAGGGGAGAUUGGAAUUUACGGUGUAGCAGUGAAAUGCGUAGAUAUCGUAAGGAAGACCAGCGGCGAAGGCGAAUCUCUGGACAGUUACUGACGCUGAGGCACGAAGGCCAGGGGAGCAAACGGG
rnacentral:rRNA from 1 species